CCUACGGGUGGCUGCAGUGGGGAAUAUUGGACAAUGGGGGGAACCCUGAUCCAGCCAUGCCGCGUGUGUGAAGAAGGCCCUCGGGUUGUAAAGCACUUUCAGUGAGGAAGAACGCCUGGUGGUUAAUACCCAUCAGGAAAGACAUCACUCACAGAAGAAGCACCGGCUAACUCCGUGCCAGCAGCCGCGGUAAUACGGAGGGUGCGAGCGUUAAUCGGAAUUACUGGGCGUAAAGCGCGCGUAGGUGGCUUGAUAAGCCGGUUGUGAAAGCCCCGGGCUCAACCUGGGAACGGCAUCCGGAACUGGCAAGCUAGAGUGCAGGAGAGGAAGGUAGAAUUCCCGGUGUAGCGGUGAAAUGCGUAGAGAUCGGGAGGAAUACCAGUGGCGAAGGCGGCCUUCUGGACUGACACUGACACUGAGGUGCGAAAGCGUGGGUAGCAAACAGGAUUAGAUACCCGGGUAGUC
rnacentral:rRNA from 1 species